GGCUAGGGAGUAGGUGGCAGGACAUGACACAAUUUGUGGGGCUGAAAAAUUACAUGUCCACUCUUACCUAUUAGAACCCCUGCUUGCUGCCAGUUUGUGUGGGCUGAAGGACACUCUGUUGCCCCCCUCCCCUUUAUAUUAUAAUUGUCCCCAUCUUCUAACUACAGGUGGGGGGCAGUGGUGGCAUUAGCAUUUUUAUUUAUUAAAUAGACCCCACCUGUUUCCAAUAUGAUCUUCCAACCCCCAUUAUUUAAAUUAAAGUCCUCCAUCCAAUGCCCAUGGGUGAGGGCACAUGGGGGACUAUGUCCUCCCUGUUAAAUAACAUGGGAAUAGGGCCUUUCUAGUGAAUGGCUGCCCAGUGACUAGUUUAUGUGGAUAUAUGAUAUAUGUUCCCACCUGCAGCUUCGGAGCCUUACUAAGGGUUUAUAAUUAAUUUAUAUUUUGGUGCUAUACUUUGUAUCGGAUUCACAUGCAAAAGCACUGAUUUCAACACACCAAAUGCAUCUAAGAGAUUGGUGCAGAUUAACUCAGACUGACCUAAUUCUGAUAUUUGACUUUUGGUCAUUUUUACCAGAUUUGUCCAUCAAGACAAAAUCUGGUGUUUAAUGAAUAACUCUGCAUUGUGUUAGUGUGCAGACUUUUGUGUAAGAAUAUAAAAGUCCUUUAGGGACAAUGUAAAUUAGCUGAAUAUGAUGUCUAUAAAGGGUAGUAAUUUUUCUGAAAAACAUCAAUUAGAGGGAUAAGUGUACAUUGGCGAUACCUGACCCACUUAUACACAUGAAUGAUGAUUACACUUAAUACAUUUUAUAUUCUCAUAUUUGAUUGCAUGUAUAUUUAGAUGUGUAUUAGUUAUAUGUAGUUCGCAUUCUCGCUGUAAUUAGGAUUGCAAAAUGUACAACAAUUAACAGCUAUCAAGUACUGGUUAUCUUUAUACAGCAUAUUUCAAUAAUAUGAUAUUGUAUAUUCAAUUAUAUCUACUGUUUCUACAUACAUGCACUGACGUGUGGAUACUAAUUAUCUCCUUUAUUCAUACAAUGCUUAGCAUUUACUUAUAGUUUUCCAUUUAAUUGUAUAUGUACAGAUGGAGAUAUAACACACUUUAUUGCUGUAGUACAGAUAUGAUUGAUGUUUCUAUGUAGAGUGUAUAAAAAUAAAGCAUUUGAAUAAGCUACUGUGAAAGGCUUUGUUCAAAGAAGUCAGCAAGUACAUUUUUUACUGCCAGGGAAUAAACAUGCAUUACGAAUCGAUAAUCAAUGAACUCUCUAGGACUUUUAGCUACAUGGGAUUUUUUGCCACUGGGAAGAAACUGGAACAUUGAAAUACAAAUAGCUUAAUAUUGUUCAAGCACACCCAACUAUACUAGCAUAAACAAAAAAAGAGACAGAGAUGGCUGUGAAAAAGUUUUAAGGCACUUUUAGAUUUGUAGAACUUUAAAUUGUUAUUUACCCCAUUUUGAGUACGCGGAAUAAUAGAAAACAAUGGAAGAGAAUGAAUUAAAGGAAAGUCUUUGACCCAACUUUUCUCUUUUGUUCUAGACUGUGGCUGAAAUACACAAAUGGGAAUAUGUAGGAGUGUGCAAACUCAAAUGUUGCAGAAACAAUCUCAAAAAUCGUUUUACCCAGCGCAGCAAAAGUACAUAGAUUGAUAUGGCUGUAUUAGCAAAAAAUCUACACGAGAAAAUAUACAAUGCACAGUUUAGUCAGACCAACUGGUGAAACUUACAUUUAUUAGAUCAUGCCAAAAUAGAAACGUUUCAGGACCCCUGUCCCUUUAACAAUUUAACAAUGGGCAGGGGUCCCAAAAUGUUUUUAUUUUGGCAUGAUCUUCUAAUAAAUGUAGGUUUCAACAGGGGCUUGAUUAACUAAGCUGCACAUUGUAUUUUUAUUUUUCUCUUGUUGCUGUAAUAGAUGGAAUUAUAUAACAAACACUUCUGAUUGAUAGGUAAAUCUGUGAUAUUUGUAAUAUAAUUAGAUUUUCUUUGCAGGACAAGUAUGCUUUCAUGUGUGAAAAUACAUAUGAAAAAACAUCAAGUUUAUAGGCAGGCAGACAGGCAGACAGACGGAUAGAUAGAUGGAUAGAUAGAUAGAGGGAGAGACCGACACAGGUGUAUAAUUGAACAUCUCUAAUUAGAAAGUUACUUGAAAACUUACUAUAUUAUGUGUUUCAUUAGGAGUCAGCAUGAGGUUAUGAGUAAUAAAUCAUAAAAUAAUUUACUUAGGUCUGAGCAAGGGGUGCAGCAAAAGAAGUGAUCUAUUACAUUUCGCUAAAUCUUUUGAUCCCUCACAGGAUGCAAUUGUAUAAAUAAAAGAAUAAAGGCAAAAGAUAACUCUUUGUACUUGAACAAAUUGGUUGAUAGACGGAAUGCAGAGAGCUGUUCCAAAUAUCUCAUUUGCAAUAUGGACAAAAUCUUUGUUUGCAGAACUUCAAAGUUGUGUAUUUGGACACACAUUUUGAUAUGUAUACACUUGAUGAAUGAAAAUAAAAGCAGCACAUGCUCACAGUUCAUAUUUUGGUGAAAGUAUGCA